GAUCACUUCCCAAUGCCCUCCCUCACCUCUGUGUUGAAUUUAGAUGCCUCCUGUGUGACCUCAUCACAUGGUGUGAGCAGGGCAUCUGGGCCAGGUGUGACCUCAUCACAUGGUGUGACCUCACUUUUUUUUAAAGAAGGGAAUGAAUUUUUUUUUAAGGAGGGAACAAAUAUAAAAAAUCUUUGUCCUAGAGUCAGAAAACCAAGGUUCAGGUCCUACAGUUGAGACCUUCUUAGCUCUGUAACUUUGAGUAAUUUACUGUAGAGAGCUGAUGUUGGUUCCUUGAAGUG
rnacentral:lncRNA from 1 species